GAUGAAGAACGCAGCGAAAUGCGAUAAGUAAUGUGAAUUGCAGAAUUCAGUGAAUCAUCGAAUCUUUGAACGCACAUUGCGCCCGCUAGUAUUCUGGCGGGCAUGCCUGUUCGAGCGUCAUUUCAACCCUCAGGCCCCCAGUGCCUGGCGUUGGGGAUCGGCCGCUGGCGUCCUUCGGGGCGCCUGGCCGGCCCCGAAAUCUAGUGGCGGUCUCGCUGUAGUCCUCCUCUGCGUAGUAGCACAGCCUCGCAACUGGAACGCGGCGCGGCCAUGCCGUAAAACCCCAACUUCUGAAUGUUGACCUCGGAUCAGGUAGGAAUACCCGCUGAACUUAAGCAUAUCAAUAAGCGGAGGA
rnacentral:misc_RNA from 1 species